GUCGGACAUGCGCCGGAGCAAUCCGUGGUCGUCCUGGUGACGGCAGGCUGGGAACAGCUGGGAUCCUCGGACCGGGGGUCCGACCUGCA
rnacentral:ncRNA from 1 species